rnacentral:lncRNA from 1 species
AAGAAACAGAAAUUGAAGAUGUUAUUUCUUUUUGUUGGGUGGAUGAUACCAAUGAAGUUGUUAGAUAUCCAAAACUCGUUGAUCCACUAAGGGUGAUGAUUGCCGAGUUUACAAAGCCUAAUUCUUCAUAGUACUUAUUUAAGCUUGUUUAAGUCAAGUGUAUUAGUAGUUCUUUUGAUGAACUUGUCCAGGUUAUGAAAGCUGGUAUUUCAACUGAAGAUGACCUGCCUCAAGAUGAUUCAGAAAUCACAGGUUCUAA